AGCGCAGGCGGGAAACUAAGCGGAUCUUAAAAGUGCGGGGCUCAACCCCGUGAUGGGGUCCGAACUGGUUUUCUUGAGUGCAGGAGAGGAAAGCGGAAUUCCCAGUGUAGCGGUGAAAUGCGUAGAUAUUGGGAAGAACACCAGUGGCGAAGGCGGCUUUCUGGACUGUAACUGACGCUGAGGCUCGAAAGCGUGGGGAGCAAACA
rnacentral:rRNA from 1 species